rnacentral:tRNA from 1 species
UCUAAGGAUGAAUGAAAGUAAAAUUUCAUUCUAAAUAAUAUACAUCGGUAAUGUUGACCGUCCUCAUUUCUCUUCUUAAAGUAAUGUUUCCUUCUUGUAGGGCCGGUAGCUCAGUUGGUUAGAGCACACCCUUGAUAAGGGUGGGGUCGAAAGUUCGAGUCUUUCUCGGCCCACCAUACUUAACUGGGGGAUUAGCUCAGCUGGGAGAGCGCCUGAUUUGCAUUCAGGAGGUCAGCGGUUCGAUCCCGCUAUCCUCCACCAGGAAACAUUUAGUUAUAAAAACUGUAAAUAAAUUUAAUAAUUAAUAUCAAUAUCUAUAUCCGAACAUUAGUAAUGUUAUUAGCUAAUGUUCAAAAUAAAAAUUUGAUUCAACACAGAAUUUUUUUCUGUGCAUAAAU